GCCUCGUCAGGGCACAUUAAUUGAACAGAGAACCAUUUUUAACAAAGUUUUGCAAGUACUUAAAUAAAAGAAAACGAAAACACAAGGCACGGCACACUGUACUGACUAACAACGCGGUCGCCGUUCCGAAGUGUUUCGACCAUUUCUAGUUGUGGCGUCGUCUGCUAUGGGGGUAAGUAGUGGCGGCAUUUUUGGCAACUGCCCGAGCACGUGACUUUCAAAAGUGGAGUCACGAGCUGCCGUAGAGAGGGCCGGUAUGAGCAGGUCGCCAAUUUAUAGAGGAGGUCGUGAUCUGGCAUUCCACGCUUUGCAUGCCCUCAGUAAUCAUGAUGACAAUGUGGGCCCAUUUUCUUCAAAGUGAGUUGCUAUUCUGUUUGCAAAAUGGGGAGGCUAGCUAAGCUGGUCUGUUCUUUGUGUUUUGUCAAUUUGAUGACAAAUUAUUGGCAAUGUUAUUUUAAGGUGCUUUUAAAAGAUGUUAAGCCUACCAAAAAAUUGCACCAGUGGCAGUGUUCUUUGGUGGUGACAGAAAAGUGAAACUGCAGACGACCAAGUUGGUCAUGCCCGCAUUUUUGCAAAAUUUAAGAGCAAUGUCGGCACCCACAACCUUACAACUGUGAUUGAGCCAUGGAUGGCCACAUGCUUUCUGCACAAAUUAUAGGCCCUUACGCAACAUCAGUGAAGAGCCAACAGACCAACGUACUGUGUUCCCUUCAACCUAGGCAGUCUACAGUUCAUUGUUGUCGCAACAACUGAUCGCCCCGCAAAUUCACAGCCUGUGCCUUCUGCUGCUACUACGGUCAACUCGUCACCCGUGCACAACACUUCUAGUUGCCCUAGUGGUAGUGCCGUUGCUUCUAAAUAUUGAGUAACCACACAUUGUAGGCUACAAGGGCAUUGUUGCACUGCAUCUCAUCUCCAUGUGUGUUGUGUUGCUGUUUGCAUACAUGUCCUUGUUUGAUAAGUGCUCUGAAUUUUUUUCACUGCUGCAAUGUCUUGACUGCACUGUGGCAGUGUUGUAUGUACUAUCGAUUAACCUCCAUAUACACAAGUGCUUUGAUCAUCAAUCUUCAAAAAUGCAACCUUCAUGCUGCUCCUUCCUUCACAAGAAAGCUUGCAUAUUAAACAUUAUUCUUGCCCCAACUAGAAUUGGUAGGUUCAAUUUGGUCACCUCACCAGACAUAUCUAAUCCGCAUUCUUGAGUAUAGCCAAAACUGUGCUGCACGUUUAAUCGCCAGGGAUUGCAACCAAUAUUUGAGCGUAUCUAACAUUAUGUUGUCAUUGUCACUACCAUCCUUGGAAUCAUGCCAGAAUGUAGUGUCGCUUUGUCUGCUACAUAAAAUCAUUCAUAGUGAGCAGUCGUCCACCUUGCCUCUUGUUUGUCCAUCCCACACAUCUAGGUGCUUGCACAAUCGCCUUAGCGUCCAGCACAUUUUUGGUCGAACUAAUGCCUUUGACUUGUGUGCUUUGCCACGUGCCAUUAGGCAUUGGAAUGGUCUUCUCGAUAACAUUGCUGACAUUAACAAUACUGUAACCUUCAGACAAAAAAUCAGUAUGUUUGGGUAGUGUUCAAGUGGUUUCUAUUUCUGGUGUAUGUAACUUUUUUUAUGUAAUUUUGCAAUCGUACUAUUCACUGUAUAACCCAGCUUUCUAAUGGUAGAAUUUUACUUCACGAUUUUAUAAUUUGUUAUCUUUAAUUUAUUGCGUUGAUCUUGUGUCGCUGUUUAUAUUUCUAACGUUGUAUAACUUUUUCGCUCCUUUGUUAUGCGAUGCCCUCCCCCCUCCACGCAAUACUCCUUCUGGAGCCUGUGACGUAGAUGAAUACAUAAACCAGAUGGCACUACUGUUUCUUGUGAAAUCAAAAUUGUGUAUAUUGUUGUGGUUUUACCAAUAGAAGCUCUAAAUCGUAAAUUGUUCUCCUGCAAUGCCGGCAACGUAUCCAUAACAGGCCAGUUGUGUAUAUUGCCUAGAAUUAUCGUUCUUAGACCCUGAAAAGUGUGGAAUAUCCUAUCUUCCUGUCUGUCCGGGUCUUUAUCCAUUUUUCCGUAAACUUGGGUCACUGGGUAAUCCAUGGUAUAAGGGGUAGAGCACUGGGGCUGUUGUGCUGAGGACACCCAGUUUGAAACAAAAAUAGGUCACGAGGUAUGGGCCGGGCCGCUCAUCAAUGACAAAAAAAAAUUUCUUAGGUGCUGGGCAGAUUCGAAUCGAAUGUCAAGCACCGACUUAGCGGCAACCCUGCUAACAGGCGUAGCAUGUCCAGAGGGACUCGUGAGAGAGGAGCCCAGCUCAUACAUGACUGAUCUCUGUGGUGGCAAUACAAUGUCUCUACAUUGUUUCAAUGCUAUCGUAUUAGCAUCGGCAUCAUCGUGAAAUGGGUUGUGCCAGAAUUUUUCUUUCUAAAUUUAUUCGCCUGUACCUAUGUGCCACAGCUGAGCUUCUAUCUCAACAUUAGUCGAUCUCAACUGAAGUAAUGUAUAUAUAGCCUUAGCUAUAAUUUCUAAUGAGCAUGACUGAUUCUCACCAAGAGUUACAGCCACUUCAAUUCCUUCACAAUCUGCACCUGCAUUAUCAAAUAUGUUAUAGUGAAGUGAGUCUGCCACAACUGAGGAUCGAACAUGUUUUCAGUUUCAAGCAAACCAUGCCAGUCAUUUUCAUGAAAGUGGCAUUACAGAAUUCAUAGGCAUUCAAUUGCACAAUGCAUGCUUAUAGGCAAUUUUAUAUUCAGUUCAUGGCAGUUGCCAUCUUGGGCUGUCGUAAUCAAAAUUUUGUGCAUAGUGACGUCAAGUUUACUUAAUCCUGGAAUGUUAAAAACACCUGUGCACUGACUCUAGGUUGUUACAGCCAGAAAAAUGGGUAUGUGAGCAGCCAUGGUGAGGGCGCCCCAAAGCUCCAGUAAAUAUGAUGCCUGCAUGCGCUCCCCCCCCUCCCCCCC